rnacentral:misc_RNA from 1 species
ACUAUAUUACGGUAUGUUUUCCCUGCAAAAUAUUUUGGAGGUGGUCAUUGAACACAAGUAUAUAUGGUUACAUUACAUAAAUAAUAAACUUAAAGAGAGUUUAAGAGAAGUAGCAUCUACACAACUUCAAUUAUUUGUGCAAAAACAAUUCACCACAUUUCUCUAAAUCCAUCUAUCCUGCUCUACUUCUAUAGGUGAAAUUCCCCCUAGUUUUCCCUUUUAUAUAUAUGUAUAUAUACGUAUGAUUGAUCCAAGGAACAGAAAAAAGAUAAAUACAAAUUUCUCAAACAAAGCUCAUAGUAACCUUAUUCUUAUUUCCUAGCUUACCUGAUCUUGAUACCAAAUACCACCUUCAAAGCACUUUACAAUGUGAAAAUACAUAUAUGGAUAUUUUCGUAAUAUCACAAAAGCAUAGAGCUAACACUCUUCCCUGCUAAUGAUAUUACCUGGUUUGACUUACCCAUAUACUUGUCUACAAUACUGUAUUUGUCUAGCAUAAGACUGUGGACUAAUAUCACAUAAAAGAAUUGUUGCUGUUUCACUAAGACUCCCAUUGUCUAAAAGUUCUUAGAAUAUGAAGUCCUGGCACAAAAGUGAAAUGCAACAAAUGCAAAACCAAUCACUAAGAUAAUAAUUCUGCAGAUCUCAGCUUGCCACACAUCUCUGAAUUAAAAUUCUCUGAGAAUUGAGAAAAGAAGCAUGCCUGUCCAAAGGGAUUAUGAAAGACCAUUUCCAGUAACUAGCCCCACAAGAAUGAGUCACGUCAUUAAUUACACUCAAGCCAAUUGUGUGCGAAGUAGAAUGACUUCAUAAUUAUAACAAACAGAACAAGGGUCUACAAUUUAUGAAUUAUGUACUUUAUUUCUCUUGCUGAUUUAAAUUCUUGAAUUGUAGACCC